UACGGGGGGAGCAAGCGUUGUUCGGAUUUACUGGGCGUAAAGGGCGCGUAGGCGGUCAGCACAAGUCAGUUGUGAAAUCUCCGGGCUUAACCCGGAAAGGUCAACUGAUACUGUGUGACUAGAGUGCGGAAGGGGCAACUGGAAUUCUCGGUGUAGCGGUGAAAUGCGUAGAUAUCGAGAGGAACACCUGCGGCGAAGGCGGGUCUCUGGACAGUUCCUGACGCUGAGGCACGAAGGCCAGGGGAGCAAACGGG
rnacentral:rRNA from 1 species